UCCCUGGAGGACUAGUGGUUAUGCCUCAGCGGUCUCACUCACCGCUGCGGCCCGGGUUAGAUUCCCGGCCAGGGAA
rnacentral:tRNA from 1 species